UACGAAGGGGGCUAGCGUUGUUCGGAAUUACUGGGCGUAAAGCGCACGUAGGCGGCUUUGUAAGUUAGAGGUGAAAGCCCGGGGCUCAACUCCGGAAUUGCCUUUAAGACUGCAUCGCUAGAAUUGUGGAGAGGUAAGUGGAAUUCCGAGUGUAGAGGUGAAAUUUGUAGAUAUUCGGAAGAACACCAGUGGCGAAGGCGACUUACUGGACACAUAUUGACGCUGAGGUGCGAAAGCGUGGGGAGCAAACAGG
rnacentral:rRNA from 1 species